AAAAACGAUAAAGUGUAUCGUUCAAUUUAUUCAUUCUGUAAGAUAUCGGAGAAAAUUAACAGCAGUGCUAGAAAUGCAUACUGAUGAUGCAUUCAAGAGUUAUGCUGCUGAUAUGAAAGAGCGGGUGAGAUGAAGAAUUCAAUGUCAAAUAUCUUGUUUUGUCUAAUUUUAAAUAUUCUAAUAAUAGUUCUCCAAUGAUAUUCAAUAUAUCU
rnacentral:lncRNA from 1 species